rnacentral:rRNA from 1 species
UACGGAGGGUGCAAGCGUUAUCCGGAUUUACUGGGUUUAAAGGGUGCGUAGGCGGGCCAUUAAGGCAGUGGUGAAAGCUCCGAGCUUAACUCGGAAACUGCCAUUGAUACUAUUGGUCUUGAAUUCGGUCGAGGUUGGCGGAAUGUGUCGUGUAGCGGUGAAAUGCUUAGAUAUGACACAGAACACCGAUUGCGAAGGCAGCUAGCUAGACCGACAUUGACGCUGAGGCACGAAAGCGUGGGGAUCAAACAGG